UACGUAGGUGGCAAGCGUUGUCCGGAUUUAUUGGGUUUAAAGGGUGCGUAGGCGGUCUUUUAAGUCAGUGCUGAAAUACUCCAGCUUAACUGGAGGGGUGGCAUUGAUACUGGAAGACUUGAGUAUAGUUGAGGUAGGCGGAAUUGACGGUGUAGCGGUGAAAUGCUUAGAUAUCGUCAAGAACACCGAUAGUGAAGACAGCUUACUAAACUAUAACUGACGCUGAGGCACGAAAGCAUGGGGAGCAAAAGGG
rnacentral:rRNA from 1 species